AAAAAGAAAGACAAGAAAGAGAAUAAGAAAAAAGACAAGGACAAAGAAGAGAAGAUAAAGAGCAGUACCGAGAAGAAAGAUAAGAAACACAAGGACAAAGCGGACGAGGACAGAGAAUGUGAUCGUGAAGAUGACGAGCAAGAAGAGAAAAAGGAAAGGAAGAAGGAUAAGGAGAUGAAAGAGAAGAAGAACAAAGAUGAAGAAGGUGAGGAAGAGGAAGAAAAGAAGAAGAAAAAGAUUAAAGAUGAGGAGAAAGAAGUGAAGAAGAUGAAAGGUAAGGAGAAGAAAGAUAGCAAGAAGCAGGACGAAGAAGAUGAAGAGGAGGAAGAAAAAAAGAAGAAAGAAAAGAAGCACAAAUAUGAAUUAGUGAAGGAUAAAGACAGUGAUGGGGAAAAGGGUGAGGUAGUAGUAACCACCAGGGAGAUUCAAAUAGAAGAAAGUGGGAAGGAAUCACAAGGUGAAGGACAAGACCAGCAGAAAGAUGAAGGCAAAGAGAAGAAAAAAGAAAAGGACAAGAAGGACGGCAAGAAGAGAAAACUAGAUGGAAAGGGUAAGAGCAAGGAUAUUGGCAAGCUAAAACAGAAGUUGGAGAAUGUUAAUGCCAAAAUAGAGGCUCUCAUCGAGAAAAAGGCAGAUAUUAUGAGGCAAAUUCAAGAAGCUGAACGCGAGAGCAGUGGCACAACCGAGAAGGAGACAGAUAAAGCUAGCUGAUUAUCAUAGCACUGUUGUAGGUGUGUUGCACUUAAGCUACUGUUGUAAUAAAAUAACAUGUUCAUGUGUCUCCCACAUAUGACUGAAUAAACCUCAGAACUCGAUAUGACGAAUAAAAAAAGCCUAUAUCUAUUUCGACGAUAAAUAAAAGUUGCUUGGCUUCCUUAUCACGGUAACAAUAUUAUUUAGUUGUAUGUUUAUCAUAUAAUUUUUGCAUUCCUAUCUGCUCUUUCCUUUCACUUUUUGAUGAAAUUAAAUCUUAGGUGCAUUGCCAACUGGAAGUAAACCUGAUAGGUAGAAUCAGUAAUGUCUCUGUAGAAGCUAGAUGUUGAAUGAUUAAGGUUCUAUUUGACGCAUCACCUGUGAAUAUUUGCUAUUGUUUAUCCAAAAACAAUAGUUUCACUAAAAUUGACAAGUUCAAACACACUCCAGCAUUUGAAUCAGCAAUUUUAGUGAAACUAUUGUUUCAAUUAUGAAUUAUGCAUCAGGCAAUGGGUAUAUGUGAAAUCCAUGGCCCUUAUGUUUAUAACAUGCGCAUACAAUAGCAGUUACAUUAUAAUUUGAUUUGAAGUUGGCCUUAUACAAUCACAUGUAGCCAGACUUAUUUACAAUCAGUAUAACGAAAAUCUUCUGCGUAACACUCUAGCAAGAAUUCUUGUAAUCACUCCAUCUAAUUUCUUUUUUAUUCUAUUAAUCACUAUAAAUACCAAUUUGAGGAAGUUUCUUAUAACAAGCAUGAAAAAACUAGCUUGUCUGUCUAGACUUGGUAGUGAGGCCAAAUCCAAAUGGGAAGAGAGGAUCAUAAUGUGGAUCUCCAACAUUCAUUGGCAGCUGAUCAACAGUCUUGAACCAUGUACGCGGAAGCUUGCCAGUGAAAUCGUAGUCACCAAACAGAACAUCAGCAACACCUUGACCCUCAGUUCCAGGGAGCCAAGCUGCAACAAGAGCAUCAAUGUAUGAAAGAUACGGUUGGAUCACAACAGGACGGCCAGAGAUUACGACAACAACACAUUCCACAGCUCCACAAACGUUUGUGAUGGUGUUAGGACCAGGGUCGGCAAUAUUCAGGUUCAUGCUGUCGCCGUUUGUCUCUGCAUAUGGGUGCUCUCCAACUACCACAAUGGCAUAUGAGAAGUUGUUGGACUUCACAAAGUUGGCAUCUGGAUUCUCCUGAUAGACAACUUCAGUUUGUUGAUCAACAGUAUUUUUAAUGGCAUUGAGUAUUGUAGUACCUGCGCAUUAGACGGACCAUGUUAGUUGGUCUUACCCAUAAUAACUUGUUGUAUAAAAGUUCUUAUCAGCAACAUUAGCCAUCUAUUUUACCUCUAGUGAGGUCGUUGCCACUAAGUCCCUGCCACUCAAUUGUCCAGCCACCACACUGAUAACCCAGAUUGUCAGCAUGGCUGCCAGCAACUAGUAUCUUUGAUGUUUUUUUAGGAAGGGGUAGUAUCUUUGAUGUCUUUUUAGGAAGAGGUAGUAAUGGAACCUCAGUUGAAUCACCAUUCUUUAGCAGCACAAGUGAUUUUCUUACAGCUUCCCUAGCCAGUUCUCUAUGCUCCUGCUUCGGUAACAGGAUGAAUGAGAAUACUUUUGAGACCCGUGCAACAUAGAGGUAAAAUAGUAGUUUAGUAACUAACCUGACUUCCCAGCUGAUCAACCAGGCUAUCAUCAGCCAAUGGAUUCUCGAAUAAACCCAUCACAAAUUUGACUCGCAAAAUUCUUCUCACUGCAUCAUCAAUUCUGCUCAUAGGUAUGAUGUUAUUCUUCACUUGGAAGGUCAGAUCAUCUAUGAAUUCUAUAUAGUUAUAGGGGACCAUGACCUGGAGCACGUUCAAAACAAAGAAUUAAAAUAGACUUGAUGAAAAUUUAUAAAAGUUUUGUUAUAGCACCUAAGCAAAGCCUAUGAACUGACCAUGUCAAUGCCAGCCUUGAUUCCUACUUCAACGGAAUAUGAGUAGUUAGCAUGAGGUGGAGAUGUGAUCCUGUCCAGACCUUCCCAAUCUGUGAUGACAAAACCCUGAAGAAAAUUUUCCGCAGUCAGUCAUCAAUUCAGUUGCUUCCUUUUCAAGUAAAAUAAAAAUACAGAGAUGUCCAUAGGAUGUGUCAAAAGAACGAAUUUUUUACCCUAAAUUGAAGAGUAUUUUUCAGAAAACCAGUGACAAGUUCCUGAUUAGCAUGCAUCUUAAUUCCAUUCCAGCUAGAGUAGGAGACCAUGACAGUUGAGACACCCUUGAUAAUUGAGUUGUAGUAUGCAGGCAUGUGUAUUGCGAGCAAACCGUGUCUGUCUAUGAUAGUGUUGUUCUCAUUUACUCCAUUUAUUGUCCCACCAUCACCUACAAAGUGCUUAGCACAAGCUGCAACCUUUGUUCUGUUGCAAAACAAUCAAAUCAUCAUUUCGUUAUGCGCAUUCUAUAUGAAUCUCUUUGAUCGUAUCUGUCAUUUGAGAAAGGAAGAAGAUAAAUAAUAUGCAAUAAACAUCUGCAAAUUAGAGAUGGUGCUUCUAAAUAUCUUACUUUCCAGCAACAUAGGGGACACCCUUUGGGGACCCAGCAGGAAUGUCCCCCUGGAGUCCAGGUAUAAGCUCAGUCAUCGCCUGGACGAUCUUGGGGUCUUCGCUGUAGCUUUCAUAGCAUCGACCCCAUCUUGGAUCCCUGCAGACCUGAACAAACAAAACAAAUAUAAGGAAUCGCCAUUUGCACAGAUGGAUUUUCAUUUUCUUUUAUGUAAAUCAGUAUUUAAAAUCUGAUAGGUACCGCAAUACAAGGUGCAAAAGUAUAUGGAAUGCCUGUAGCUCGAACUUCAAGUGCAGUUGCAGCUCCAAUCCUUUUAACAAGAUCGGGGUCCCUGGAUGAAUCAACAGAAUGUUAACUCAUGUCGGAUUUACAAAACCAAGUUUAAAGAGAACAAUAUCAUCCACAGAGCUACAUCCACUUGCCUUGUAGCUCCAAGGCCUAUAUUGUGAGGAAAAAUUGUAGCGUUGUAAACAUUGUUAUGACCAUGAACAGCAUCAAUCCCAUAAAUCAUUGGAAUCCCAAGUCGCGUGGAUAAAGCACCCUUCUGAAAAUCAUUGAUUAUGUUAAUCCAAGCCUCAGCAGAAGCCUGUCUUGCCGGAGCACUCCCUCCUCCAGUCAAAACACUCCCUGCCGAAAACUUAAAAUUCUUUAAAAACUUCUUUAGACAUAUUUCAUCAAUCAUCAAUCUGUUAGCGUUGCUUGCUUACCUAUGAAGUAUUUCUUCAUCACCUCAGCUGAAGCAACACCACGUUCAAUCUGUGUCAUUUGGCCUAUCUUUUCCUCCAAAGUCAUCCUGCUAACCAGAUCGUUCACUCGGACAUGUAAUGGCUGCUUGGGAUCUUUAUAUUUCAGGUAUUCUGCUUCUGCCAAGCAACACAAGAGCAGAAGCCCCAUCAAGGAGAUGAGAGUUCUAGCCAUAUUUUCGUAAACCAACCUUCAAAGCUGAAAAAAACCGGAAAUGUCCAUUAAAUUCCCAUUUGAGACAAGACAAAAAAAAAAUGUAAAAUUUGUUCUCUACAUUGAAGACUAAUUAAUUAUAAGUGAUUGAAAUAAAAAAACAAAGAGACUGGCUAAUUAACAAAUGAAGACAGAAUAUUAUGAGGAACAUAAGAAUAUAUGAAUGGGCGCAUACACAAACACAGAAACCAUAAAACGUAAAAUUGAAAAUUCAAAGCUGUGUACAUCCAAACAAAAGUGAAAGAAUAUCUUUUAGGUGACCAUUGCAUUUGGCUUUCGUAAUAAUGAAGCUUGAUUGUUAUUAUUCUUAUCAUUAUUAUAAUUAUUUAAACAAAAAAGAGUCAUAGGGGACUCAUAUGAAUGAACCGCGUCAGUCUUUAAGCAACAGAGGUUUCUUGUUUUCCUACAUUUUCUCAGAAAACAAACAGAGGAUUAACUGAAAGCAGCAGUGCAUACACAGAAAGUUCAAGAAAAAUGCGAGAAAUGAAAAGAAAGAUUACAACUUACAUUGAAAUAAAUAUACCCAAAAGAUUAGUCUGUUUGUUAUGUCUCAGUUUCACAAAUGGGGACUCAAAAAAAUUGUCUCCUUGAAAUGGGAAGCAGCAGUUUGUACGACAAUGCUGCAGAGCUUGAGCUGGUAUUUAUAGAAACUUGCUCCUUAAUUUACUUUUCUAAAACAACAUGGUUGUUACGUGGAAGGAUGAAAUUCAGUUGUGGUAGUGUACACUAACGGUCAACAAAUAUAUAUCUAGACAAUAAAAUGAUCCAAUUCUUCCGAGGUAAUAGGUUGUUCAAACUUCCUCUUGCAUAGAUAAAGAAAGAAUCUUGAAUCUAACUUAAAUUCAAUUCUUAAUUUCAAUAUUACAGUGUAAUUUUAUUGAUAUUACAAUUAAAAGUCCAUCACUGAUCAGGCUUGAUCCCCACAAUGACAAAAAAAUAUUUGAAAAUAACCCUUGAUGAGCACAACAAUGACGAAUAAAGUAACUGGAAAAACUGUCCCAAAAUCACAGGAAACUACUCGAAAUAUGAUGAAAAAAAAUAAAAAGAAUGCAUUCACAUUUUGAUGAUUGAACCUGAAGAAAAGAACGUGAUUGAAUUCAGGGUAAUUCACGCAAGCCCGACUGGAGUGGAUAGGGUUUAUUACAAUUCAAAGUUGGAUAAGAUACACAAAUUCUACAACUGCAACAAAACAAUAAUCAAACUCACGUCAUCGUGCUAUGUCGAGUUUCAACUGAAUUUAUUGAUUUUAUCCGCACAAACAUCUUUUUUCAACUCGGUCGGUUUGAUUUGUUUUCCUUAAAAUCUUUCAAAAUAAUCGCCUGUCAGUUUUUCUUGAGCAUUUCUUACAAGCCAAGAUAUAAGAUCGCUGUGACAAGUACAUUUUUUUCUGAUGAUAAUUUGAUUAAUUAAAAAUUAAAAAAUUGGCAACUUGUGCGUUGGGUACUUUUUUUUUUCGUUUUUAAAUAAAGGUAGUUGUUUUAAACACGUCCGUUAAGUGAACUGCUCUUCCAAUACUACCUGUCAAACGAAAUAAUGGUCUGCUUAUUGCUUGCUUGUUGCCUGGCUAGCUUUCACCAAAUCGAUAUUAUUAUAUACGCCCAAUUACUUCUGUUAAAAAUAAUCAAAAGGCAUAGUUUGUCCAGCUUAGCAUUGCAUAUUUGCAUUAAUUAUAAAUCAAUUAGAAGUUGACGUAUGAAUUAUUUUAUCAUCUCUUGUCCGAAUUGAACACCCAAUUUAGUGUAAAACGCCAUUUUGGUUCUUAAGGUUUAAUUCUUCUUUAGUAUGAUUUAUUUAAUGAUCAUAAAUACUUAUUUAAUCUUAUAAAUUCUUAUCAUAAUUUUGGUCGUUAUUUGGUUGUUUUCCUAAUAGAGUUUUUUAAGUUUAAAUAAGCUAUUUUGCCUCUACUAACAAAAUCUCAAAUUUUAAAUUUUUGCGAGUAAAAAUUAAAAAGUUUUUUUUAAAUAUUAAAAUAUCAUCUACUUAUUUGACAAUCUUAUUUUAUUUUUUUUAUAACAUAACUUUAAAAAACUUGUUUAUUAAAGUAAUUUCAUAAAUUUUUAAUAAAAGUUCUUACUAACAACCAAACAACUAAAUUUUUUUUGGUAAAAACUCCAUGUGUAAAAAUCUACUAACAAAAGUUUUAUUUAAAUAAGAUUUACUUGAAAAAUUGUAUCAAAUGGAGCAUUUGUCUAAUUACUUUACCUAAAAUAUCUAUACUUCACAACUUUUAUAGAUGUUAAAUCUGACUUUUUUAAGGAUAUAAUAAAAGAAUUUUUUUUAUUUAAAUUAAAAUUCGAACAGAUGUGACAACCAAUAAGUAAAAAGUAGAUAAGAAUCAAAUAGAUUUCCACAGAGUAUUUUGAGUAAUUUUGAAAAUACCAAAAUUAAUUAAGUAAUUAACUCAAACCUUUGGGACCAGAGAAGCAUAUCCUCAUCCAACAUUUUUUUGUUAUUAUAAUUUAAUACAUCACGUACCAAUUUGGAAAUCAAAUUGGAUAAUGUCGUCGAGUUAAUAAUAUUCUGUUCUAUAUGAAAUACACACGUACGUACAAUGAUCUUGUAUAUGAGAUACAUGCACAAUUAAUGAUCUUGUAGCUUUUGUUGAUAUAGAUGACACGAUGGACCGACGUGGCUAAUAAUCUUAAGAUUAUGGUUAAUUAAUAAAAGUGUCAAUACCCAGAAUUACUUAUCCAUUACAAAAGAAUACAAUUCUAACUCUACUUGUGUUCAGUUGAAUUAUACACAAUGCAAAUAUUCAACAUAAGGCGUGAUGAUGAAGAGAUGUGAAGCCCCGAAGUGUCUCAUACGAUUUAAUUCUUUCAAAGACUGCCCAUUAAGAUUAUGUAAUAAUACGUGCAAUAUAUUUUGUGCCUAAAACACAGAUUAUAUAUGCAUUGAUUGUUUAAGAUGGAAGCAGUUUAGACCACGUUAUAUAAGUGUUAUAUGCAUGUACACAUAUUUUAGGUCGUCAAUCACUUUCUAUAUCUAUACUCUAAUUAGAGACGUAAAAUGGAUGGUAUAAAAUACGUUAAUGCUAAUCUUUUCUUUAUCAUAUUGGAUUCUUCUUAUAUUGAUUAAUUAUAUUGGGGUCUUUAUUAAUUAUUGUUUGUUUGUUUGUUUGCUUAUUUUUGACUUAUCCGUUGCUUGUUGCAAAGGUAAGUUUGGUUUGAUGCAUGCUAGACGACGAAGACGUCACCUAUAUAUCCAAUCCACGAAUGAGUUUUAAAGAUUAAUACGUUAAAAGGAAAAAAAUGACCUUUUGGCAAGCAUCGAGCCCUUGUUGCAGUCACAUGUGAAUAAUGUGUGCUCCCCAUGAAUAUUUGAAAUUUGUUUUGUUUAGUUCGCGUGUUGACUGAUUCAAAUGCUUUGUACAAUUUUGAGUUAAAAGAAUUUAAGAAUCAAAUUAGACCAGAAUUUAGUUUCUAUCUAUUAUUUAUAAAGGAUUCAGUAUAAUUUUAUAUUGUGUCUUAUGGACCCAUUUAAAUUUUUCCAAAAAAAAAUGAAGAUAUAUAAUAUAAGAAGAUAAUGAAUGAUGAUGAUGAUGAUGAUGAUGAUAAUAUCUCUGUUUUUUAAGAUAUUGUUGAGUAAUGAAAAACUAUAAAUUAAUUUUAUUUACAUAUAAAAAAAAUAUAAGACGUGUGAAGAUCCUGAUAAGCUGAUAACAGAAGCUUUACAGAAUACUCCCCCAAAGAUCUUGAAUUAGAAUCAACAAGAUGCCUCACAAAUCAAUUAGAAAGCUUAACGAAAUAAUGUUCAAUUAACUAAGACUAAGAUUGUGUUUAGAAACAAACAAAGAAUUGAAUCGAAAUACAAGAAAUCACAGAACACAGCUAGCUAACGUAGUUCAGUCAAUUUGCAUUGACUUACAUCCACGGGGGAACAAACGCAUCAACUUUAUUGAUAUUGCUCAAGUCUUGAUUACAGAGAUUACCAAGCACUCAAUAAGAACAAGAAAACUAUCCUCUAUAUCAAGCUUUCUUUCUCUCGUUAUAAUGCUCUCAGUCUCUCGUCAACUCUCUCUUUCUCUCAACUGUGUACAACAGCUUAUAAACCACCUCAGAGGCAUUUCCAGAAACACACGUGAUGAUCAUGUGGAAUAACGGCUUCUUUAACAACCUUCUUGUUUGCACGUGUUCUGCUUGUGCUUCAUUAACUCCAAAACAACAAGAUUGUUGGUCGUUCUAACAAGCACUUGAUUUACUUAUUAAAACGCAGUCUUCGUAUGUCGUUUUGCUUAAGUUAUAGUGCAUCACAAAACGCGAGUCAGCACUGCCGUUUCAUCCUCUUUGAUUUGAUUCACUGAAUACACAACAAAACUCCACCUUGAAGCAAAUCAUCCCUGAUAAACUUUCUCCUCAUUAUCGUGUGCAUUUCUCAGGAGCUGCACACUCCAGUCAAAUCCAAACAGAGAUUGAAUUUAGCUGUAGGUACCACAUUUGUAAGCAUGUCAGCUGGGUUACUGUCACUGUGAACUUUAACCAUUUUGAUGACUCCUUUAGACACUUCAUUCCUGAUAAAGUGUAGCUUCACAUCAAUAUGUUUGGUUCUUUCAUGGUGUGCUGGAUUUCUUGCUCAGAUAGAUUGCACUCGAGCUGUCACAAUGGAUAUCAACAGACUGUUGCUUCUUGCCCAAUUCAGCUAACAUACCCUUAAGCCACAAUGCUUUUUUAACAGCCUCUGUAGCUGCAGUGUAUUCAGCUUCUGUAGUUGACAAAGCUACAAUAUGUUGAAGGUUUGCUUUCCAGUUGAUUAGACAGCCAUUUAACAUGAACAUAUAACCUGUUAAAGAUCUUCUUCUGUCAUUAUCCCCUGCAAAGUCUGAGUCUACAUAUCCACAUAGUCCAUCAUUUUCUCUCCCUGAUCUCCCAUAUUGCAGUCCAAUCCCCAAGGUACCCUUUAAGUAUCUUAGGAUCCAUUAUAUUGUUUGUUUGUUUUUUACUUAUCCGUUGCUUGUUACAAAGGUAAGUUUGGUUUGAUGCAUGCUAGACGAAGGAAGACGUCACCUAUAUAUCCAAUCCACGAAUGAGUUUUAAAGAUUAAUACGUUAAAAGGAAAAAAUUGACCUUUUGGCAAGCAUCGAGCCCUUGUUGCAGUCACAUGUGAAUAAUGUGUGCUCCCCAUGAAUAUUUGAAAUUUGUUUUGUUUAGUUCGCGUGUUGACUGAUUCAAAUGCUUUGUACAAUUUUGAGUUAAAAGAAUUUAAAAAUCAAAUUAGACCAGAAUUUAGUUUAGUUUCUAUCUAUUAUUUAUAAAGGAUUCAGUAUAAUUUUAUAUUGUGUCUUAUGGACCCAUUUAAAAUUUUCCGAAAAAAAUGAAGAUAUAUAAUAUAAGAAGAUAAUGAAUGAUGAUGAUGAUGAUGAUGAUAUCUCUGUUUUUUAAGAUAUUGUUGAAUAAUGAAAAACUAUAAAUUAAUUUUAUUUAUAUAUAAAAAAUAUAUAAGACGUGGAUAGGACUGCUACUAAGUAAAUCUAGCUAACUAAUUAGAUUUGUUGCAGACUGGGAUACAAGUUCUAGAACUUUAAUAAAUGAUAAUUAAAUUGAUCUUUUUUCAUUCUCAACGCUAUGAUUUUCAGUUUAUUAUUUUUGAUAUAAAAGAGAUGUGGUGUAUACAUGUCAUCGCCAAUCUCCAAUACCAAUUCUCCAAAACUGAAACGAAGAAAGUUGAUAUUGAUUUAUUAUUUUUAAGAAUUUGAAAAUUUUAGGUAAUGAUUUGGCCGCUAUAGAGCUAAAAUAUGAGUAAAUAUACUUGUUUUAUCUUUUAAGAACCAGUCGAUUAUAUGAUAUGAUGGCACUGAAGCACCAAAUUUCUUGUUUGGAAUGCUCUUUGAUACCACGAUCACUCAAAUAAUAUUAUUAUUUUUUAAAGAAAAAAAUAUUAAAAUGUGACAAACUAUUGAUUCAAUCAACAAAGUCUGUUACAAAUAUAACAUUAGAUUAAUUUUGCAUUUUGGGCCUGUUCAUGGGGAUUGCUAGUUAAUGACAGCAUUACCUAACAACUUUUACUAAAUUACAAGAUCUACCAUUUAUUUAGUUGUUAAAGCUGUUGUCUUUUUUUUUUUUUCUAGUCGUGGCCAUUUAUUUAGUUGUUAAAGCUGUUGUCUGUUAAAGCUGUUGUCUUUUUUUUUUUUUCUAGUCGUGGCCUACUUCUGUCAUGUCAAAAUUCAGUUUGGUUUAGUUAAUGCACGUAGACCACCAAAUCUGUGAAGUAAAAUUGCCACAAAGAAAUACCCACCCGGCAUCUCCACCAUCUAUGCUAGCCAAUCGUUCAUUCACCAUCAGGCGCAAUCUUUGCUACAUUAAUAUUGACAUUUGAUAACAGUAGUACAUGCUUAGCUUAGCAGGUUUUGUUACGUCACUUUUCUUCAAUUAGCUACAGCUUUUUUCACUCGUCUUCACAAAUCACAACUGCAUGGCACUUGCCAUAGCCAUUUUUUCAAAUCGUUAAAAGGAAUUUUGGUGUCUUUUAUUAAAAAUUUAGAGAUCUACAUAACUAUUUUCCAAAUCGUGUAGAUAUCACUUUUCCUUUUGUAUUUUGACAUUCCGUUUGAUUGAAAUUUCUGUAAUACCUUGACUUAUGUGUAUAUAAGUCAUUAUGUUAAGAAUAUAUAAGUUAAUUAUUUUGUUGGGCCUAAACUAAUUCAAAGCCCACACUAACAGUUAAAAAAAGCUGAGCCUAAUAGCCUCUUUAUACAUCACUAAAAAUAAAAAUCUAUUAUUUUGUUGGGCCUGAACUAAAUCAAAGCCCAAACUAAUACUAAUAAAAGCCAAGCGCAUUAGCCUUUAUACACACGCGCGUAUGGGGGCAGAUCAGCAGCCUCCUAAAAUUAUAUCUAUUUUUAUAUUAAUAAAAGAAUAGUACAUGUACCGAGAUGAUGCAACAAUUAGAACGUAAGACUCUUCUUAAAUUAAUAAAUAACUUUGCUAAAAUAAUUUUUUUUUCAUAGUCCCAAAAAAAUAUAUAUAGAGGUUUCUUAGAAUAUUUAGAUAUUAAAAACAAGUAACCAUAGAGAGGUCAAAGUAAAUUUACCUAAAAAAAUUAAGCUUAGCUGUAAUAUGGGACACUAAGAAAUUAGUUUAAACAAACAUCACAUACUAGCAAUGGUCAACAAAAUUUUAUAGCAGACCUAUUAAUUAAUUUAGGAUAAAAUUUAGAAAUUAAUUUUUAGAAAUUAAUUUAGACAAAAUUUCUAAGUUAUUAAUAGGAGUAAACAGUUCUUUGAAAUUAGUAAUAUUAAUACAUUAAGAAAAAACUUAGAUUGUAUUGAAGAAAUAUUAUCAUAUUCCAAUAGUCAAAUUAAGAGAUCCCGUAAUAUAAAAAGAAAUUGCGGAUUUAAAUAUAUUAUUAGAUAUUAAAACUCCUAAACGAACUGAGUUAGAAAUUGGAAUCAUAGUUGAUUUACUAAAAAUAGAAACAGAAAAUAUUACAAAAACACCAAGUAACUUGCAACAACAGUUGGAUUCCGAAGUACAAUACGAAUAGAAUAAGAGAAAUCUUAAUAAAAAAUAUUAUAUGUAAAAUUGAGAAUAUUGAUGAUAAAAUUAAAUAAUAUUAAUAGAAAAAACAAUCAAUCAAAUAAUUAAUUGUCUCCAUUUUAAUUACGAAUUGCGAUAGAUUGAUUGUAAAUCAAUAUAAUAAUUGAUUGACCCAAUCUUUGUUAACAAUCAUUGUUCCUGAAUUAUAUACAUCAAUUACAUCAUUUUCUUUUUCAUAUUUCAAAUACUUAUAUAAAUUAAGCCUUUGUACUCACGAAUUAAUAAGAGUGAAAUUUAUGUUUCCUCAAUAAUUCUCAGAAGUUUUCACUAUUAGGGGCGAGAGAGAGUUUUGUCGGCCAGCACUAUUGAUUUGCAUAUAAGAACAAACGUGUCUGUAAUUACAAAGAAAGAAAAUGAUAAACUUUGCUUCUAGAAUCGCUUCAAAUUCAGAAAAUUCAAUAAGAAUUUUCGGAUUCUUAGUCCAAUACUCUUCUAAUAAAAGUCAAAAGGAUUUUCUGGAGUUGGAUUCAUUUGAUUGGCGGUGGACAAAUGAAGCUCCCACAGCGGCGAGUGAUUAUCUGUGAAGUGAUCUCAAUAAGAAUUAUUAAUCUUUUGGUCGUUAAGAUUCUGAGCAUACUUUAGGAGAAAAAAUUUCUACAUUUUAGUCGGACUAAGCAGUUCUUUGAAACUGGUGAGUGGUUAUGGUAGUAUUAAUAAUUAAGAAAAAACUUAGAUUGUAUUAAAGAAAUAUUAUGAGAUUUCAGCAGUCAAUUUAAGCAAUUCCAUAACCGGAGAAGUCAAAAAGAAGAAAUGGUGGAUUUAAUGAUUAUUCAGUUAUUUUGGGUAUUUUAAUAUCUAAAACAGAUCUUCAAUAUAUAUAUAUAUAUAUAUGAGCACAAAAUAAAUUUAAAAACUGUUGGAUUCUAUAAGUGCAAGACGAAGGCAGUCGGCCAAUCAAUCAAAGUUAAUCGUGAAAAGGACAUCGUGUAGGCUGCUCUAACUCUUCUCUUUUUUUUAUUAAUAUAUUUUCAGAUUUAUAAAAAAAAAAAAAAAAAAAGGAUUGCUCAUUGAGUGCUACGUGUCGGGCGAUUAACUCGCUCGCUCGGGCGGGCGAUUGCUCAGACAACAAUGUCGUCCCAUUAUUAUACCCACUACUCUCAAUGUAUUUACACUCAAAAUACUAUUUAUUUCUCUGUUACAAAAACAAGAAGAUUCAACAAAAUUUAUAACUACUUAUAAUUGUGAUGUCUUCACAGGUCACAGCUGCUGCAAUUGUUAUAGAUUCAUAUGUAAUAAUUGUUAUAGAUUCAUAUGUAAUUGAAAAAAAAAAAAAAAAAAAAACUCAGUAACUACAACUUUGAGUAAUGUAGAUAAUCUAACAAAAAUUUGACAUAAUCCUCCAUAGACCAAGUAUAACAUAUUUGGUUUAUUAAUCUUUCUUUGUUCUCCACUUUCAUGCAAGUAAAAUAUGGCCAUUUGGCCACCUUUUAUGCUUCUCCACAUUUGAACGUGUAUAAUAUUUUGGGCAGCAUUCUUUUGCACCAUCUCAUUUUUUCCAGACUGCAAAAGAUUAUAAAAGAUUCAGUAAGUGAAAAAUAAAAUGUACAUAUUCAACAGCUUUAGCAUAAAACAGGUAAGUAACUGGAUCUCAAUAAGAAUUUUCGAAUUCUUAGUCCAAUACUCUUCUAAUAAAAGUCAAAAGACAGUUGGAUCUACAAGUGCAACACAACAGCCAAUCAAUCACAGCUAAUCAGGUAGAUUGCUCAUUGGGUGCUACGGUUCGGGCGAUUAGCAGCAAGUAUCCAGUUUUCUCGUUUGCUAGCAUCCACAGACAACAGAAUCAUCCCAUUUUUUCAAUAUUAUUUUUCCCACUACUUUAAACAUAUUUACACUCAAAAUAUCAUUUAUUUCUCUGUUAAAGUACUAAAUUACCCCUCUCAUUUUGUUUGUUAAUAAAAAAUUCUGAAAAAUCAUACAACCCAAACUCUUACAAACCAACACUCUCAAUUGUUCAACUGAAACAAUUUCGAUUUAUAAGUUUCAUUGUCCCAAAUGGUUUUUGGAGUACGGUUCUAUUACAAAAAGAAGAACAUCCAACAAAAUUUAUGGCUACUUAUAAUGAAGCAAUUUUGUUCAAAGUACAUUGAUUAUAAAAAUAGUUCUCCUUUGUGCAUUGAACAUUUUUCCAUCGGAGAGCAAAGCCUUGCCUUGAGAACUUCUUUAUAGUUUGAAAGUAUCUAGAAGUCUUAUUGUUUGAACAUAAAUAUACUCCAACCUAUAUCUAUAAAUAAAUGUCAUUUCGACAUUAAUAAUAAAUUAUAACAAUAAAUAAGUAUUUAAAGAAGGUUUUACCAUCAUUAAACAUUGUUAAAUUUAGAACCAACAUCUGAUAAAUAUUCACCAAAAAAAUACUUCAAGGAUUCAUAAUCUUCCUUGUAGCGGUUGAGACUAUAUUUUCAUAUUAAAACUUUCACAUACAAAUGCUCUUCACUCGCGUGGUGCUUUUGAAAGUGAGAACUGAGCCAUGUUUAUAAAAUAUUAUCAUAUUCUUAUAGUCAAAUUAAGAGAUUCCAUAAUAUAAAAAAGAAAUGUUAGAUUUAAUAUAGGGUGAAGAUAUUUGAACCCAUCAAAGUUCUAUUUGCACCCAUACUUUUAAAAAAUAUUUUUGCUGCUAAUAUAUCCCAAAUGUAAAUUAUGAUUUUAGACAUUAGACAAGACGAUAAAACUAAAGAAAAAUAAUUUAAUUCAUAUGCUCUUCUUUCAGGUUUCAACAGCCGCUUAUAUUGUGCUUUCAAUCUCGACUCAUGAAGCCAAACAAAACAAUAAUGUUUAUUGUUAGGCACUUUGAGAUAAGCUUCAAUGUGAAGAAGAAUUAAGUGUCAUGUAGAUUACAAAUUGAAGUUUGUCUGCAAGAUAAAUUUCCUACCAAGACAAGAUGAUAUCUAGUUACAAAGUACAUGAAACCAACAAAAAAUAAUUUCCAGCAAAGAUUUUUUUUUAUUAACUAUGAUAUUUACUUUUUACAGGUUUUUUAUUUUGAUUUGUUAUGAACACAAACAAGUUAGACAAUGACUAGAGGCAUGUAUAUAGGCGAUUUAUUUAAACUCGUCUGGAUGUAUUGCAAACGAAAAAUUCUUUAAAUCGAAUUUGUUAGUUUCUGUGAUUGAUUCCAAUCAAAUACUUGUUUAGAUGAUUGAUACUUAUCCAUAAUAUUUUUAUAUUAAAAAUGAGUUUAUAUUUGAAGGAAAUUAAUGGGUGUAGUAGUUAGUAUAUUUAUGUGUUUAAAAUAAUCUAAGAGCAUAUUUGGUAUUAAGAUGGAUGAAUAGAGUGAAAUCUUAAUUUUCAUAUUUUAGUAGUGAGCUUUUUUUUUAUAAAUAAGUUUAUAAAAUAUUUUAGCGGAUUCAAAUAAUCUCAUCCUUCAAUAUAUUAUUACAUAUUAAACCAACUGAAUUAGAAAUUAAAAGCAUAGUUGUAUAUAUAAUAUUAAAAGCUAAAACCCAGCGAGCUAUUAGCCUAUUACUUCUGAAUUGACAGUAUAGGUCUAAUGUCAUUGCUUCGGCAUGUAAAAAGGAAAUUAAAAUUAUGUAUGUGAACAUAUAAAAUGAAAUGUGAAAGUUAAUACUCAUUUUUUUUCAUAAGUCACGGAAUGGCACAUUUAUAAGGGCCGGCAGACCAUCGAAAUUUGGAACUAUAGUGAAAGAAAGCAAAACUCAAAGAGGCCAAAUAAUAAAUAUUACAUGUGCGGGGUAAAAAAAUAAAUAUGUCGAUCUUAGUUCGCUCUUGCCUCUUGUGAAGUCUGUAGCGUGCGUUUGACGCGCAUUCGAAGCGUGGUACUGAGGCAAUCCGUAAUCGCUUUUUCGCUUUUCGGCGAUACGGGGAUAGUUGGAAGCGCCACGUGCAUACUAGAAUAAGCAACGUAACAGGCGUUGCUUGGCAGGGAGCGCCGCAGAUUCGGUCUCACAAAAUAUCAAAAUAUAGUAUUUUUUUAAUAUAAAAUUUAAUCUUAAAAUAAAUUUAUAUCCUCCUUUUUUUUUUUUUAUUAGAAAUAAACGUAUGAGAUCAUUACAUUAAAAUCUCGGUAAACAAAUACUCAAUAAGUUAAUAAUAUUGAUAAUAAAAUCUUUUCGUCUCCUCUUAGGUUAAUAUAUUAAAUUAAUAAUAUGGCUAAAUACAUAGAUAAUAAUGAAUAAUUAGUCAAACAAAAAUUACUAAUAAGAAAUAACAUAUAAAAUUCAUAAUAUUAACAGGUCUAUUCUUGAGAACUUCAAUUUCUCAAAUCAACUCUUUUUCAAAAUAUACUUCUUAUGAUUUGAAGCUAAAAUUAAAACUAAUUACCGAUGUAUUUAUAGAAUUUAUGUCCUAUAUACUUUAAGCAUGUAAAACACUUUGCCUUUUUGGGCAUUAUUUUUAAAAAGUACACACAUCAUUUUGUGCCUAUAUACAAUGUACUUGCAUUAACUUUUGGACUUUUAUGUCCAUGAUCAUAACAUUAAUUAAUAUUUUUGUAUAUACAUUAUCUCUUAUGAAAUUCAUACAUAAAUCUUCUUAGUCAAAAGAAUAGUACAUGUACCAAGAUGAUGCAAAAACUAGAAUAUAAAACUCUUCUUAAAUUAAUAAAUAACUUUGCCAAAAUAAUUUUUUUUCAUAGUCCCACAAAAAUAUAAAGAGAUUUUCCUUGAAUUCAUAGAAUAUUUAGAUCUUGAAACAAGUAACCAUAGAGGGGUCAAAGUAAAUUUAUCUAAAAAAAUUAAGAUUAGUUGUAAUAUGCGACACUUAGAAAUUAGUUUAAACAUAUACCACAUACUAGCAAUGGUCAACAAAAUUUUAUAGCAAAUCUAUUAAUUAAUUUAGGACAAAAUCUAGAAAUUAAUUUAGACAAAAUUUCUAAGUUAUUAAUAGGAGUAGACAGUUCUUUGAAAUUAGUAAUAUUAAUACAUUAAGAAAAAAACUUAGAUUGUAGUGAAGAAAUAUUAUCAUAUUCCAAUAGUCAAAUUAAGAGAUCCCAAAAUAUAAAAAGAAAUUGCAGAUUUAAUAUAUUAUUAGAUAUUAAAACUCCUAAACCAGCUGAGUUAGAAAUUAGAAGCAUAGUUGAUAUACUAAAAAUAGAAACAUAAAAUAUUACAAAAACACAAAGUAACUUGUAACAACGGUUGGAUUCCGUAAGUACAAUACCAAUAGAAUAAGAGAAAUCUUAAUAAAAAUAUUAUAUGUAAGAUUGACAAUAUUGAUGAUAAAAUUAAAUAAUAUUAAUAGAAAAAACAAUCAAUCAAAUAAUUAAUUGCCUUCAUUUUAAUUAUGGAUUACGAUAGAUUGAUAGUAAAUUAAUAUAAUAAUUGAUUGACCCAAUCUUUACUAAUAAUCAUUGUUCCCGAAUUAUAUAUACCAAUUACAUCAUUUUCUUUUUCAUAUUUCAGAUACUUAUAUAAAGGGAAAAAACUUGUUUAGUCUGUAUAUUAUAAUAUUAGUGUCUAUUUAGUUCCUAUAUUUUUAAAAACACCUCAAAACGUCCCCGUUGCUAAAUAUUGACACCCGGGCCAUUAUUUUUUAUUCUUUUUAGCUUACUUUUACAAUAUUACACUCUUACAGUAAUGUUUUUUUUUAAUAUUAUUAAAAAAAUUCGAUUAUCAAAUUACACCUUUUUAAUAAUGUCUAAAAAAAGAAACAUUAUUGUAAUAGGAUAAUAUUGUAAAAAUAAGUCAAAAUGAACAAAAGAUAAUGGUAAGGGUGUUAGUAAUUUAAUGACAGGAUGCUUUGAAGUAUUUUUAAAAAUAUAUAGACUAAACGGACACUAACUUCAAAAUAUAGGGAUUAAACAAGCUUUUACCCUUAUAUAAAUUAAGCCUUUGAGCUCAUGAAUUAAUAAUAAGAGAGAAAUUUAUGUUUUCUAAAUAAUUCUCAAAAGUUUUCACUCUCAGGGGCGAGAGAGAGUUUUGUUGGCCAGCACUAUUAACUUGAAUAUAAGAACAAAAGUGUCUUCAAUUACAAAGAAAGAAAAUGACUUCAAAUUCAGAGCAUCUUCUAAAUAAAUAUAUUGGGCAAGCAGCAAGUUGCUUUUUUUUUUUUUAUAAAUAUAUUGGGCAAGCAGCAAGUUGCUAUUCAGAGCAUCUUCUAAAUAAAUAUAUUGGGCAAGCAGCAAGUUGCUUUUUUUUUUUUUCUACUUUUAAAAUGUUUUGUAAGUACAAAUCUAUUCCAUGCGCUUCUAACCUAUUUCCUAGUUCAAUAUUAUUAUGUAUUUUUUAUUCAUUAGUAGAAGAAGAAUUUAUGAUUAAAGACAAGGAACUGGCUCUCAAUAAGAAUUUUCGGAUUCUUAGUUCAAUACUCUUCUCUUCUAAUAAAAGUCAAAAGGAUUUUCUCAUUUUCUGGAGUUGGAUUCACACUUGUCUGUGAAUUGAUGCAUCGUUUUUUGGAUCUUUGUGCCACGGUGCGGGCGGUUCGUUUCGCCUCUGAUCAACCACUUGGAACUGGACCCACGUACUAGCAAUGACGAGAAUUUUAUUUUAGACCACUAAUUAAUUUAGGAGAAAAGACAAAAUUUCUAGGUUUGUAGUUGGACUAAGCAGUUGUUUGAAACCAGUGAAUGGUAGCAUUAAUAAAUAAGAAAAUACUUAGAUUGUAUUAAAGAAAUAUUAGCAGAUUUCAGUAGUCAAUAAUUUAACCGAUUCCAUAACCAGAAGACAAAAAGAAUAAAUAGUGGAUUUAAUGGGUAAUCAGUUAUUUUGGGUAUUUUAGUAUACCUUAAACAGAUCUUCACAGAAAAUAGAAAGCAUUAAACGAACACAAAAUAAAAUUAAAAACUGUUAGGAUUCUAUAAGGGCAAUACGACAGCCAAACAGUCAAAGUUAAUCAUGCAAAGCCCUUUUGGUUGGUAGAUUGCUGAUUGAGUGCUACGUUUCGGGCGAUUAACGAUAGCUCUAGAAGUUUCAGCUGAACAAACAUUUACAAUUUGUUUCUGAAUAUCAGGGGAUGUCAUUUGGAGAUUUGCUAGAGCAUUGUUGAAAAUAACACUUUUAAUUUCAUCAUUGUGAUCAACAAGAAAUCGUAGAAGCUCAAGAAAGUUUCCUCUAUUGUUUGAGCUUUGAGAUUCAUUAUUAUCACGAAAUGCAAGAUCUUGUCUCAAAAGAAAUCAAAUGCAAUCAAUUACAGCAAUUAAACAAACUCAGUACUUCCUUUUAAUUUUUUUUAGAAUGGUUAAAGCAAAAUGUGGCAACAUGUGCCUUCUGAUUCAUCAAUGAUUCACAACGACGCCUCGCUAUGUUAUGAGCACUAUUUGUACUUGUACCACCAACAUGUUGUCUCAACAUUUCUUUUUUCUUCCAAUUUCUAAACCCUUCACCAGUAAAACAUAGACCACCCCAUUGACUACCAUUUUCUUCUCUGAAAACAUAACAGUAAAGACAAAAAGCUGCAUCCUUGUUUAUUCUAACCAAUCAGGAUAAUUAUCGAACCAACUCCGGACAAAUCAUCGUGAUUUUUCUCCUAACGGCCUAGUAGGAAAAUCAUGGCUCUAAGGUUGAAAAAGACCCAUUUGCAAGUAUGAUCUCCGAACUUCGUCUUGAAUAUUAGGAUCUAACUUUGAAAUUAUCGUUCGUAAACCGAGAUCCCUUGGAAGAUCAUGCAAAUUAACUCUAACUUUUUCUUUUGAAUUGCCACUUAUUUUUCUUGAUGAGGUUGCAAUUGUUGAAUUCUUUCUUAAAUAUUUAUCCAUGGCUAUUUAAAUAAAUAUAUUUAUUGAAUAAGUAUGAUAUUCAUUGUUCAAAGAAAAUUUUCAACAUAAAUAAAAAAGAAUAUACAUGAAAAUUACAGUUACUGAACUAGACAAAAUAUUAUGAGUCUUCAUUAAAAAUUCAGUGUACAGGGGGUCUAUUGAUCUUAAUAACUUAAUUUGUUCUUAAAUCUUUUAAUAAUGGCAAAAAUAUUCAUAUAUGGCAACACAAAAAUCAAACAUGGAUAUAUAAUAAAAUUAAGAAUUCUAAAUGGAUAAAAUAACAAAAUAAUAAAAAAUUAGAAUUAAUAAAUUUAUAAUUUUAAAACUCAGACCAUACAAACAAAGAAAAGUGAAAAGUGAGAAGAAAUUCAGGCACACGGUGACUAGCAGUCGAGCACUGCUAAUUGGAUAAUCUGCUGUGGAGUCCACACACCAUGACACCACACAUUAUUCCAUGAAAGAGACGAAAUCUGCUGUGGAGUCUACACACCACACUUUAUUCAAUGGAAGAGACGAAAGAAAGAAUAAAGUUCAGACUUCACUUGCUUUAAUUGAUUUUUUCAAAGGAUUUUGGAAUUCACUUGCUUUAAUUGACCUUUUUAAUGGAUUUCGGAAUUCACUUGCUUUAAUUGAUUUUUUUAAUGGAUUUCGGACUUCACUUGCUUUAAUUGAUUUUUUAAUGGAUUUCAUUCCGUAAAAAGCGGUUUUCUUGUUGUCUUUAUUAAUUUUUAUGAAAUUAUAAUAACUAAUUAAAUUAUUUAGAAUUAGACAUUUAAGUUAGGGGUAACAUGAAUUUUUUUUUAAAAAAUUACAUGUGGCACUUUCAAAAUUCCACAAUUUAGGUGGGACAUUUUUAUAAAUAGUAAAUCAAAUAUAUUUUUUUAAGAUAACCAUCAAAAGAAAUUUUAACAGGCCCCAGGUGGUCCUAUGCUAGCUACGCCCGUGGUGACUUGAGAGUUGAGACUAUAUUUUCAUAUUAACACUUUCACAUACAAACGCUGUGCGUUCGCACAAGAAGAGAAAAGCAGUUUUUACUAUUUGAACAUAAAGGUUAAAUGGCAUAUGACUUAAAAAUAAUUAAUAAGUGACGGAUAUAAAGUUGUUGCCGGUGAAAGGUCGGUACAGGUGUUCAAUUCUUAGAAAAGCGAGCGCGUACCGGAGGUGGUCCCACGUAUCUAAUAUUAAAAUCUAUUUGUCUCAAAUCUUAAUCCUCUAAACAAAUCACUAAAUCAGUCUCUGUAAGCAAAUACACAUCGCAUGCUGAAAAUGGGAAAAACUAAUGAAAAGUGUCUGUUCUCAAAGACUCUCACCAAGACAGACAUUAACAACAAAUUUUCGGUGAAAAGCAAGAGCCUUGCAUCCUUCCCUCCCUUUGGAGCUCAAACGUAUGCUCAGGAUUUUAACGCAGAGGAUGAAGAAGGGAAGAAAUGGCUGUUUCGCUUGAUAAUUCGUAAGGGAAAGCACAAGAAGCCUGUUAUAUCUGCUGGUUGGCGCAGCUUUGUUCGGCAGAAGAAGCUUAAAAUUGAUGACAAAGUUUUGUUUUUUAAAGAACAAAACGAAGCAGAGAUUGCAACUGGGGGCAAGUACAAGAUCAAAGUGCAGAAAGCAGUCAAGGUGUUUAAAGCUAUUAUGGGCUACGUACCAUGCAUGGGUUAGGAAAUAUUUUUAUAUUUUAUCUCAAUAAAGUUGUAAUUCUAUUUUACAAGGGUCAAUAGAGCCAGAUAAGGGCAUGUUUCGCACGUUUGGAUUAUAUAUUUGUUUAAGUUGUAAUUCUAUUUUACAGGGGUCUAUAAGGGCAUGUUUGGCACGUUUGGAUUAUAGAGUAUUAAAAUCCUAUAUACUAUCUCAUGUUUGGUGGUAAAAUCACUUUUUGUUACUCCUCAUAAAUUUAUUAUUCCAGUACACUUAAAUCCGCAUAAAUUUUCAUUACUUUUUAUGUUGAAGCAUGUCUUUUUCUUUCUGGGUUUGAAUACUUUUUUUUUUUUUCUUUUCUUUUGCUGCUAUUGUUGUGGGUGGCUACUAAUUUUGUCAGUACUUUUUAGUUGGCUUCAUGAGUUGUUGUUAUAUUUUUACUUGCAAUUAAAUCUUGUUCAAAAUCUGAACAAAUAGACUAAUUUUGCUUUUGAGAAAAUUAAUUAAUUAGUUAAACAAGUAAUUAAAAAAUUAAUUAACUAAUGCGAUUAGACGGAGAAGAGUGGAGGUAGGAUUUGGAACAUGAGUGUGGAAAUUUUACUGGAAAGUACUGAUUAACUUUCUCAUGUUUUGAAAUGAUAGGUCACUUGAAGACUUUUAGUUUUCUAGCUUUUUGGACCAUAAGUAUUCUCAUAUGCUUGUGUCGUACGUUGGCAUUAUUCCCAGGUUUUUUGUAGUUUUGGACUUGCAUGGAGGCUUAAGGUGCGAUUGGAAUCAUUUUUUUUAUUGAGCGUUUUUCUUUUUAUAAAAAUUAUAAAAUAGAAAAUGCGUUUGGCCGGGCGGCGUAGCUAUAAUGAGAAAGUAUGGAGAAUAAAAUAUUUUCAUUCUCUAUCUUUGCUUAACAAAUGCAGAAAAAAAUAAUAAUAUUUGCGUUCUGAAUUUUGUUUUCUAGUCUGCAUGCAAUGCAUUGAGUGUAUGAAAACCACACUUAGGUGACUUUUUACCAUUAAAAAAAUUAUAGACCCAAAAAGAUAUUAAAUAUAAAUAUGAAACUUUAGUUUAAAAAUGAUAAAUACUCAAUAAAUUUUAUUAUGUAAUAUAGCCUCUGACAGCUAUGUGCAGCCAGCAAUUCCUUUGCUUCGGUGGUCACUAUCACCAUUGGAGCAUGUUAACGAAGAAUUUCUUACGGUCCAAGGAGUUGAGUAUGGGUAGGUGAUUGCAACUAGACAGAUGCUCAUUGGUAGUUACAGUUCUUUCUCAAUUAUCAAUUAAUUGAAUGGAAACAGUCUCUUCCUCACAAAAUAUGAGUGGAGUAGGUACCCCUCGAAUAUUAGAGAGGGUUUAAAAAUAUCUGGGCAUAUACUUUUGUGUGUCAAUGUAUGAUGGUGGUCCCAGUUAUAUAGUAUGAUUGUAAAUACUAAUUGUAAUGUCUGAUAUAAUGUCAGUAAUAUCUGUGUAUAACAGACUUCAAAAAAAAAAAAAAAACUAGACAGAUGCACAAAAGUCAAUAAUAAUAAUAAUAAAUUACUAAAAUUUAGUAAUAAGUGCAUAAUUAAGCAUGGUGAUAUCAUAUGUUAUUGGAUAAUUAAUGGGAAUCAUAUAAUAAUAAAUUACUCUGUCCGCAUCAUCAAAGCUAACAACUUUUUUUUACGACCAUUUUUGGGUUAGAUGUGGGAAGUUUCCAAUUUCCAGUCAAAUCUGUUGUUGUAUUUGACGAAUGAGAAAAAGCAUAAAAGCCGACGAAGGAAACAAUUAUCUACAGAUAAUCUUUUAGGAGAACCCAUGUGUUAAGAGAACAUUAGGUCAUUGUGACAUAUAUACAAACAUAUGUGGACUACAUGUCAGAGCCAAUCUUCAAUCCACUUUCAAAGUCUUUGGAAAUUGAGGCUAAGAAAACCGAUAUUGAUUUAUUAACUUUAAGAAUUUGAGAAUUUUUGGUUAUAAUGCGUUUCCUUUAUAAAUGAAAGUUGAGUAAAAUAUACCGGUUUUGAGAAUCAGCCUUUAAUACGAUGGUAACCAAAAGCAAACUUCAAUAUUCCAUUUGGGGGGAGUUUGGUUACUAAGAGAGUACUGAGAAAAUUUAGCUGUUUUGGAUAGAAAAUUCUCCGAGGGUUAAAUAGAGUAGCUUUAAUACAGUAAUUUUUUUUAAAUUAUUUAAUGCAAUGAUAUAAUAUCAACGAGGGCACUCCUGCAAUUUUAUAUUUUGGGUGGAUUGCUAACUUGCUAGUGAUAAUGUCAGCAUGACCUAUCAAUUUUACCAAUUUACAAAAUCUACCUUUUAUGAUUUGUUUAAGCUAUUGUUUUUUUUUCUCUCUCUCCAAUGUUUUGAUCUUUCUUAUCAUGUCGUUGAAUUUGUCCUAUAAAUUGAAUUUUUAGACCAAUGAAAUACAAUUAUUCCCUCCCAUUCGUCUUUUCUCCAGAACUGCAUCCAUCCAUCAUAAAGAACAAUAAAAACUUCACGGCAUCAACCAUCAAAGUCCUUAUUAAAUGCCAAAAAAAAUGGACCCUGAUAGGAAUUCACUGAUGUGAUUCAUUUAUUGCCCCCAAGGAACACAAAGUUGCUACCCAACACUUUUUUUCUCUCUAGAAUCGAAAUUUCUUGCUUGCGCACCAAAUAUGUCGAUCGUAGUUCGCUCUUGAGUCUUGACUCUUGUGAAGUCUACAGCGUGCGUUUGACGCGCAUUCGGAGCGUGAGACUAAGGUAAUCCGUUAUCGCACAUUCGCUUAUCUCAACUGAAAAGGGACAGGGAACACGGGAUAGUUGAAAGCCCCACGUGCAUACUAGAAUAAGCAAAGGUAACAGUCGUUGCAUGGCAUGGCGGGGAGCGCUGCAGAUUCGGUCUCACAAAAUAUUAAAAUAUAUAGUAUUUUUUUUAAUAUAAAAUUUAAUCUUAAAAAUAAAUUUAUAUCCUCCUUUUUUUUAUUUAGAAAUAAACGUAUGAGAUCAUUACAUUAAAAUCUCGGUAAACAAAUACUCAAUAAGUUAAUAAUUUUGAUAAUAAAAUCUUUUGGUCUCCUCUUAGGUUAAUAUAUUAAAUUAAUAAUAUGGCUAAAUACAUAGAUAAUAAUUAAUAAUUAGUCAAACAAAAAUUACUAAUAAGAAAUAACAUAUAAAAUUCAUAAUAUUAACAGGUCUAUUCUUGAGAACUUCAAUUUCUCAAAUCAACUCUUUUUCAAAAUAUACUUCUUAUGAUUUGAAACUAAAAUUAAAACUAAUUACCGAUACAUCAUUUUCUUUUUCAUAUUUCAAAUACUUAUAUAAAUUAAGUCUUUGUGAUCAUGAAUUAAUAAGCCUUUGUGAAAUUUAUGUUUUCUCAAUAAUUCUCAAAAGUUUUCACCAUUAGUGGCGAGAGAGAGUUUUGUUGGACAGCACUAUUAAUUUGCAUAUAAGAACAAACUUGUCUUUAAUUACAAAGAAAGAAAAUGAUAAACUUUGCUUUUAGAAUCGCUUCAAAUUCAGAAUAUCUUCUAAAUAUAAAGGGCAAGCAGGAAGAUGCUAUCUUUUUCUACUUUUAAAAUGUUUGUUAAGUACAAAUCUAUUCCAUGACCAUGCGCUCCUAACCUAUUUGAUUCCUAGUUCAAUAUUAUUAUGUAUUUUUUUUUUUCAUUCAUUAGUAGAAGAAGAGUUUAUCAUUCAUUAGUACUACAUUUUAACAAACUGGGCAUCAGAAAAUUAUAAACUUAUCUAGGAAGAAAAUGAGACUAUUCCCACUUUUUGUUUACUUUCUAUAGCUAGCAACAACAUCUCGACAAGUCUUUCAGAAAAAAAUAAAAUCAAAUAAAAUAAAACCUUAGCAAAUAACUAUAGAUUUCUUAAAAGAAAAAAUCUAAAAUUUAAGCACAAAAAUGUUAAUAAUCAAUACUACUCAAUGAAGAGAUUGAUGCUGAAUCAAUACUACUCAAGCGACUAUCACAUCUAGCUGACGGAACUUCAACUUUUCACCUUGAUACUGUUAGGCGAUUUUGAUGUUUUUCAUUUCUGAAGAUUUAUUAGAUUUCGUUUCGGAAUUUGACGAAAUUUUGAUUUUGAAAGAGAGUAAGCGAGGUUUCACUGGGUUUGGAGAAGGGGCGCAUUUAAAUGAAAAAAAUUAAUUACAAAUAAAUCUUGGCCAUUAGAUUUAAUGAUGCCACGUGUCAAUAGAUCUCUUCAAAGAUAGGAACUAGAGCGUAGGUUCCACGUAUUUUAAUCUUUUGAAAGACAGGAACGGAGCGAGUGGUCCCUUUAAUCUGUCCCAAGUAUUUUAAUAUUAUUAUAUCUAUUCUAUAAAGGAAAAUGAUGUUUGCCCCGGGUCAAAUCCCGGGUCAAACCCCGAAAAUAACGUAAACGGCGUCGUUUUGAUUAUUUUUUUUUUUUUUGGAAUACUCCAAAACGACGACGUUUCUGAUGAUAUUUUGAGAAGAAUAAAAUCUUUCUUCCUCUUCGUUUCUUCGUUUCACCUGCGAAAGCAACAGAGCAACAGAGGGAAGACAUCCCAACUUGGUCUUGCGCUCAAUGGCUUCAGAGAUAAAACCUGUCGUCAGUUUCCCUCUGGAGAAUUUGUAGAUUUUGUCAUUUGACACAAACAAAUUUAUACAACAAGCAGUUGAAUUAUACACAUGAGUUCUGAAAGUCAAUCACAGUUGUAGACAGCUUUACACUUCGUUGAUGGUAAAUUAUCACUUGAAAGCGAACCUCAGCAGCUAUAAAUGUAAAAGUCCUCCACUUUUUUCUUCUUUAAAGAGUUGUUCAAAUUAUAUACUUAGUUUAGUUUGUAUCUCAAUUAACACAAAAACUUGUGGGUUGUGCUUGACCAAUAAAUAUCUAUCAUUCUGCAAUUUGCUACUGUGGAUUUUGCUGGGAGACCCACCCACUUCGGGAAAAUACACGACCACUGGUUUUAAAGCCAAAAAAAGAAAAAAAGAAAAUGUUAUGGAAUUCAUCAUACUUUAGACCACUGCUGUUGGUCUUGAGUAGCCGAAACUCAGCUGUUGUUGGUCUUGUUCUUCACUAAAUGCAAGGGCUGUGGAUCUCGUUCAGGUUAAGACGAAGAGGAUGGAGCUUUAAUUAGUAGAUCCUGUUCUGCUGUCGACUCAAGGGCUGUAGAUCUAGGUCGAGGAUGGAAGAAAUGAAAAAGAAAUGAAGAAAGGAUGGAAGAAACGAAAAAGAAAUGAAGAAACAAAAAAGAAAAAAAUAAAGAAAACGACGCAAAUAAGAAAUCGAGAAGAGAACGAAGAAAAUGAAGAAGAAAUGGUUCAGCUGGGUUAAAGACAGAGGAAGAAGAAGGCUGCCAUUUGUCCACCAAAAUGACUUCGUUGAAAGCAAAUCAGAAUAAAUAAAAAAUUGAAGCAGAAACGUCGUCGUUCAAUAGCACUUGAAAACAAAAAAAAUUACGAGCCAAAACGGCGUCGUUUGACGCAUUUUCGGGGUUUGACCCGGGGUUUGACCCGGGGCAAACAUCAGCACUCUUCUAUAAAUAACAAAUCCGUCUCCGUAAGAAAUACACGUCGCAUGCCGAAAAUGGGUGAAGCUAAUGAAAAGCUUCUGUUCUCAAAAACUCCCACCAAGACAGACAUUAACAACAAAUUUUCAGUGAAACGCAAGAGCCUUGCAUCCUUCCCUCCCUUUGGAGCUCAAACGUAUUUUCAGGAUUUUAACGCAGAGGAUGAAAAAGGGAAGAAAUGGCUGUUUCGCUUGAGAAUUCGCAAGGGAAAGCACAAGAAACCUGUUAUAUCUGCUGGUUGGCGCCGUUUUGUUCGGCAGAAGGGGCUUAAAAUUCAUGACAAAGUUUCAUUUUUUAUAGGACACAACGAAGCAGAGAUUGCAACUGGAGUCGAGUACAAGAUCAAAGUGCAGAAAGCAGUCAUAGUGUUUAAAGCUGUUUCAGGCCAUGCACCAUGCAGUGGUUAGGAAAUAUUUUUACAUGGAGGCUGCUAAUUUACAACUGUUGUAAGGCGCAGCCGCUCACAUAAACAGUAUUUGGGUCCACAGUAUAAAUAAUAUUUGGGCCUGUAGUAUUUUUAUAUUUAUCUCAGUAAAGUUAUAAUAGUUGCAAAUUCUGCAAUCUAGCCUUAUCCUAAAGUUGUAAUAAACUUAAGAUAAACUCAAAGUUACAUUUUGUGUACCUUAUACCCGCUCACAUAAAUGGUAAGUGGGCUGCUGGAAUAUAAUUAAAGGGGAUCCUAAACCUAAAGUUGUAACAAAAAAGCAGCCAAGGCGUUUAAAGCUAUUAUAAGCUAUGUACCUUAGAACUGUUAAGAAAUAUUUUUAUAUUUAUCUCGAUAAAGUUAGUAAUAAAGCAUUAAAUUUGCACCAUCUCAAGUAUAGUGGUAAAAUCGCUUUUUAUUACUCCUCAUAAAUUUAUUAUUCCAAAUUCCAAUACACUUAAACCCGCAUAAAUUGGUUUAUGCCGUAUCGCAUUAGAUAAUUAAAACCCAUAAAAUCUCUCUUUUUUAUUCCAUCAAAACACGAUCCAUCAAGCAAAUCCAACAUUCGUUUAUUCAUCACCGAGUCACCACCGAUGCAAUUACCCCCAUUGCUCGAUGCCAUCACCGUCGCCAACAAGUGCUUCGUCGUGCCGCGUGAGACUUCCCAUCUGUUUCACCACUGACGCGCCUGCACUUUGCCGCUGAAUCAUCAAUCAACCGGUUAGUAUUUGGGUUUGAUUUUUCAAAUUGAACCACAAUCAGUUUAUUUUUCAUUACUUUUAUGUUGAAGCAUGUCUUUUUCUUUCUGGGUUUGAAUAUAUUUUUUUUUUUGGCUGCUGUUGUUGUGGGUAGCUAUUAAUUUCGUCAGUACUUUUUAGUUGGCUUCAUGAGUUGUUUUUAUAUUUUUACUUACAAUUAAAUCUUGUUUAAAUCUGAGCAAAUAGACUAAUUUUGCUUUUGAGAAAAUUAAUUAAAUAGUUAAACAAGUAAUUAAAAAAUUAAUUAGUUGAUGCGAUUAUACGGAGAAGAGUGGAGGGAGUAGAGAUGGAGAACAGGGAAUUGGAGGGGAUUUGUAUGUAUAGUUGGAUGGUAGGAUUUGGAACGGUGUCGUCUACCUGUACAAAUCUAAGAUAUUCCAUGAUAUUUAGGAAUCAAAAUUUAAUCUAAACUUCCAUAUGAGUGUGGAAAUUUUACUGCAAAGUACUGAUUAACGUUCUCAUGUUUUGAAUUGAUAGAUCACUUAGACUUUUAGUUUUCUAGCAUUUUGGACUAUGGUAUUCUCAUAUGCUUGUCUCGUUGACAUUAUUCCCAGGUUUUUUUUGGUUUUGGACUUGCAUAGAGGCUUAUUAUAUGCUUUUUGGUUUUGAAUUUGCACAAAGGCUUUCUCAUAGCUUAUUGGUUUUGGAUUUGCACAAAAGCUUUUCUCAUAGCUUUUUUUUUUUUUUUUUUUGAUAAGAGAGUGAAUCUUUCAUUCAAAAUAGGAAAGUACAUCAGGAGGAAAGUUGUCCUUCCAUGUGACAGAUUCGGAGCUUCUCAAAGCUCUUUCAGCAAGAGAUUGAGCACAACUGUUACAACAUCUUGAUACAUGUUGAAUUGUUAUCGGUUGGAACUUUUCCAUGUAGCUUUGAAUGUCUGAAAUAGCCCACAAAAUCUCCUUCCUGCUACUGGUUAUAUUGUUGGCUAAGUUGACCACUUCCAUACAAUCUGUUUCAAUAAUCACUGCCAAUAAUCCUGCUUCUAUUGCCAUUUCCAUCCCCCGUUUUACAGCCUCAGCUUCUGCUGCUGAAACAUUCUCUUGGGGCUUUGUGUUUUUUACUGCUUCUGUCGCUACAACUUGGCCUUGUGAAUUUCUAAUAACAACCCUGAUUCCUGUAAGCUGUGCCCCUGCCUGAACAGCUGCAUCCACAUUGACCUUGUAAUACCCGAUAGGUGGAGGACACCAUUGUUUUUGCUUGCUAACACCAUCUCUUCUGUUUAUCUGCUCCGUUUCAUGCACUCUUUGAUAAGCCUCUAUAGUAGCUUUUGCCUUUGCAAUUAAUGUUACCGGGCUUAAUUUUCUGCCUUCGAAAAUAAACUUGUUCCUAGCAUGCCAUAUUUCCUUCCAGACUGUUACCACAAACUCCACCUCUCUCUUGGGCAUCCAUCUCAACAGGCUCAGUAUAAGGCUUAGAAUAUCUUCUCUCACCAUUCCCUGCAAUUCAGAAUCACCAUAAUUGUAUUUCCAGACCUUCGUAGCCACCUUACACUCCAUAAGUGCAUGAAAGACAUCCUCUACUCCUGUUUUACAGAUUUGGCAUGUUGGCUCCUGUUGAACUUGUUGGUACUUCAGCAUACUUGAGCUUGAGAGCUAAUUGGUAACCACUUCGCACUGUCUAUAUUCCUUUUUUGUCAUAGUGCCAUAACCAUUCAUCAUUCUUAGGCCAUCUUGGUAGGGGAAUUCUCUUAAUCAUCUCUGAAUCCUCUUUUGCAAAGUGCUUCUCAAUCAAACUAUUCUUCCAUUGGUGAUCUGCGCCUAUUAAGUCUACAACUUUGGUAUUUGCUGGUAGAGAUGGAGCAAAAAUUGGCCUAAAAGUGGUCGGCCUAGGUUUCCAGUUGCUGGCCACAACACAAAUUUUAUCUCCUCUUCCAACUCUCCAUCUUAUCCCCUGCUGCAGAAUUUCUCUACCUCACAAAAUGCUUCUCCAAAUAAAGGAUGGAUUAGAACCAACUUUGGCUUCCAUAAAAUCAGUUUGUCUGUAAUAUCUAGCUUUCAGCACUUUGGCCACUAGUGAAUCAGGGUAUUGUAAUAAUCUCCAGCCUUGCUUUGCAACUAAUGCCUGGUUGAAGCUUGAGAGAUCUUUAAAACCUAUCCCCCCUCUGAUUUUAGCCUUACUAAUCUUCUCCCAUUUUGCCCAGUGAAUUCCUUUCUUGUCAUUUGUUGAACCCCACCAGAAUCUCGCAAUUGCUCUCUGAAUGUCAUUGCAAAUAGCCAAAGGUAUUUUGAAGACACUCAUGGCAUAUGCAGGGACUGCCUGAGCUACAGCCUUGAUCAAAACCUCUUUUCCACCACUGGAGAAGAAUUUAUGCUGCCAAUUCGAUAUUUUGCUCAACACUUUGAGCUUAAUAUCAUUGAAAAAGCUGGUCCUAUUUCUUCCCACCAUGGAAGGCAGUCCCAAGUACUUCUCAUGUCUUGAGACCACAUUCAGCUGAAAAAUGUCCUUUAUUGCUGCUAUUUGUCCCUGUGGGAUUUUACCGCUGAAAAACAUUAAUGACUUGUCACAAUUGAAGAGCUAGCCAGAGGCCGAAGUAUAGUACUCGAAAAUUGCUUUCUCAUAGCUUUUUGGUUUUGGAUUUGCACAAAGGCUUUUCUCAUAGCUCUUUGGCUUUGGACUUGCACAGAGGCUUAUAUGCUUUUCUCAUUGACAUUUAGAUCCAAUUUCUAAUUCUUUUUGGAUUUACAGUGUUCUGAAAAUCAUACCUUUUGCCACAAUAUUGAUGCUGCAAAUCAAUCUGAAAAUGCAUGCUUAAGUAAUUAACAAUAGCUUUUUUUUUAAUAUCAUGAAAUUAUUUGAAUAUCAAUACUCAGUGUGAAAAUGCAUGCUUGAGUAAUUGAAAAAAUAUUUUUUUUUCUUUUUAUUUGUUGUUUUCGAUAUGGACAUGAGAAUAGAAGUUUUUUUCGUCACAUGGCAAACGAAAUUAAGGUUCAUGUUCAUUGUGAUGUUUUUUCUCCAUGUUUACUUUAUCUGCAUUAAGUGAUGCAGAUAGUUGGCAAUAUGGUUCAAGCUGUAGCAACUGUGUAAUGAUCAUCCGUGUUAUUGAUCCAAAUAUAUUCAUAAUGAUGUAGUAAGGGAUUUACUUUUGUUUAUAACAUUGCAAACUUGAUAGAUGUUUGUGGGGAUAGCCUUUGGAAGAUAUCAAUUCGGGGAAUUUCCUCAAGAGCCUGCAAGAGGCCUGACUAUGUUAGAUGAACAAGUUGAAGAAAGGAUGCUUGACGUAUUUGUUUGAUUUUGGGAAGAUAUAUGAUGUUAGAGAUCAAAUCAAUAACUCUUUCAGCCAAGCAGACUGAGAACUGAUGCUAGAGAUGUUUCAAGAGGUUCUUACGGUUUGGAAAUGGUAUUAUUUUCCAAUGGAGGUCCUCUAAUUCAGAUUUGCUUACUGUUGAAAUAGUUGUGGAUGGUAGUUAGAUCUUUUGUCAUAUGCAAAUUCAGCAAUGUGUAACUUUAUCUACAUGUAUUGAAUCUGCAACUAAUUACAUGUAAUGAAUCAUUGUGUUGUAAAUGAUGUAAAAUUUUGCUGUUUGAGAAGUGUGUGGCUGAAGCUUAUGGGAGGUUUCCUUUGUGAAAUUUGAUGCACAAAUUAUUUGAUUGAAUGAUUUGAUUCGGUUUUUAUUUCAUAGGCUAUAAAUUUGAAAAAUGCUGAAAAAAUAAAUGUUAUGUUGCUGAAAAUUUAAGGUCAUAGGCUUUAAUCUUUUUGAAGAAUUAUGAUUUUUUUAUGUUUAUACUAAAAAAAUAAUGUUAAAUUUCUAAAAUUUAAAAUUUUUAUAUUUAGUGCUUUUCUAAGUACUAAUAAAUAUUAUUUUUUAAUUUAAAUUAAUCAUCAAAUAAAUUAAUACAAUCCAAUACAAAAUAUAAUAUAACUCAACUAAUAGUAGGCUUUGGUUUAUUUCAAUAAAACAGAUAGAGCAUACAUAUAUCUUCAUUUUCAUAUUUAUUCUCUACUCCUUUGUCAUCGGAGAGGGAUAAAGUGUCUAAUAGCUGUAGCUUUAGUUAGUUCUUAUAGUAUUAUAAAACUUUUUAUAUUGUAAAAUUUUGUUGAGCCCCUUGUACUUUGUUUUAUUUCAAUGAAACUCUUGGAGUACUAAUUUGCCCCCUAUAAUUUUGAAUUCCCAAAAUACCCUACAUUUAAUUAAUAAUUAACAAUAAUUACUAUUAAUAAUUAAUUUUUGAAUAUCAAUAACAAUAAUUAAAAUACAAAAUAAUGAUUAUGAUAAAAUUUAAUGAAGGAUUUUGUACUAAUUUGUUACAAUUUAAUUUAUUCUGAUUUUGAUUCUAAGACAAAAUAAACACAUAAAUGGUAAUACAAUUCAUUCUAAUUAUGAUUCAUGCCGUUCAAGUAAAUAAAUUAUUCUUAUUCCAAUUCCUCAUUUGGAUUCUAGAUACUUCGAUUCUAACUCAUUAUGUUUUCAAUUAAUUUUGAUUUAUGUUUAGUGAAUGAUAAAAUUCAUAAUACUUAUUAAACAAUGUAAAAAAUAUAGAGUGGUCUCACUAAAUAUAAAGUGAUUUACAAUUUUAUAGUGCAUUCACUAAAAAUGAAUCGAAAUUAGCUGGAAAUAUAGUGAGUUAGAAUUGGAAUAGCUAGAAUUAAAAUGAAAAAUUGGAAUCAGAAUAAUUUAUUUACUUGACCUGCAUAAAUCAUAAUUAGAAUAAAUUGUAUUACAAUUUAUGUGUUUACUUUGUCUUACAAUAAAUAUUGGAAUGGGUUAAAUUAUAACAAAUUACUAUAAAAUCCUUAAUUAAUUUUAUUAUAAUUAUUAUUUUGUAUUAUAAUAAUUGUUAUUGUCGUUAUUAUUAUUCAAAAAAUAAUUAUCAAAUAUAAUCUAUUUAAUAAUUAUUAUAUUUUUAAUUAAAUGGAGGGUAUUUUGAAAAUUUAAAAUUAUAGGGGGCGAAUUGGUACUCUGAAGGUUUUGAUUAAAUAAAACAGAGUAUAAGGGGCUCAACGAAAUUUUACAAUACAGAAAGUUUUAUAAUACUUAUAAAUAAUUUAUAAAUAAUAUAGAGUAUAAGAGGCUAAUUGAUAUUUUACGGGUCAGCCGUGAGUUACGGUAAAUGUAACUUACGCGGACCCGAUUAUUGCACGUUUGUUUCUUCUUUGUUUUGGCAGAUAUAAUACAGCCUCUGACAGCUAUGUGCAGCCAGCAAUUCCUGGCUUCCAUGGUCACUGUGACCAUUGGAGCAUGUUAUGUUAGUGGAGAAUUUGUUACAGUCCAAGGAGUAUUGGUAGGUGAUUGAAACUAGAGUACCAGAACUAGUAGCUGGUGUUGUCUUAAGAGAUGCAAAAAAGUAAAAAAUAGACGGAAACUUUAAUAUAUAAUAAAUUAAUCUUUUCAAUUCUCAGCGGUAUGACUUUAUCUGUAUUAGGUUUUUUUUUUUUUUUUUCCUCUAAUGUUUUGGGGGGAAAUUACUUUUUUUUUUUAUUAUUACAUUGUUGUCGUAAUAAGAUGAAGAAACUAUAUAUUUUAGGCUUUGUAACUUAUAGAGGUUAUUUAAUUUUUACAAAACAUUAAAUUUCCAAAACACUCUUUUUUUGUUUCAACAAUUUUACUUCAAUUUUAUCAUCAGAUAACCUGACAAAUUUUGUUGCACAUUAAUGUUCUAUUGCAGAGGCGGAUCUUAAAUAGUCGUUGCCUUUCGAGUCUCGCAAGUAGUAACGAGACAAAAUAAAGAGCAAUGAAAAUUUUCAAUAUUAUGUAAAUGUGUUUACGAUUUUAUUUUCUUUUAAUUUAGUAAUAAGUGUAUAAUUAAGCAUGGUGAUAUCAUAUGUUAUUGGAUAAUUAAUGGGAAUCAUUUAUUAUAAUAAAUCUGUUGUAUUUGGCGACUGAGAAACAGGAUUAAAGCCGACAAAGGAAACAAUUAUCUACAGAUAAUCUCUUAGGAGAAUGUGUUAGCAAAUCUCAGGUCAUUAUGACAUACCGACCAUAUACAAACAUGGGCAAAGUUAUGUUGCAACAUGCGUUUGGUACCUCUCUCUUUUGUCUUUUUCAAGGUCAAUUAUAGUAGUAUCCUGUUAUUUAUUAUAAAAAUAAAAAUGUUAAAUUUUUUUAAAGUUUUACGCAUUAGUCCUACACCUACAUAGCAUCAUUUUUCUCAUCCAUUUUGCACCAUCAAUGACAUCAUUUUUUCAUCCCUUUUAAUUAAAAUAUAAUUAAAAUUACUUUCCAUAUAGAAAUAGAAUAAUAAAAUAAAAUAAAAUUUAUUCUUUUUUUAAUUAAUUAUAAAAAAAAAAGAUAUUUUGUAUUAAAAAAUAUAGACAAUUACUAGUUAUCAUUGUUUCUUAUUAAUUGAAAGGGGACAUGAAGGGUUUCAUUAGACUUGAAAUUGGAUAAUUUACAUAAAGAUGGUUUCAAUGCUAGCAAAUGACAAUAUGUAAAGUUGCAAGCUCCUUCUAAAAUAGCUGCAACAAUAACUAUACCACAAAAACACAAAGAGUUACAUUACACUACCACCUUUUUUUUUUUUUCUUUUUUU
rnacentral:lncRNA from 1 species